GGAGGCCUCUGCCAGUUCCUGUUCUGUUAUUGCAUUUUUAAGGCUCCUGUCCACAGCAGAAUGCCUGCUGGCAGUUACAGUUGAUAAACUAAGUAGGAGUUUCCUGCUCCAGAGGGAGUGAAGGCACUGGCAGCCACCACUGGCAGCUGGAACUCCCAAGCUACUCCACGACGCGGGAGGUUGCCUGGCAGUCAGUUUUGAUGACCAGGCCUAGGAGCCACUCUCAAAUCCAAUUCUCCCUACUUUUGAACCGAUUCAGAAGACUCGGAGACCUUGCUUUUGAAGAAACCCAAACUGGACAGACAGUUACUGAAUUUUUGUAAUGUCCGAGGCUUCCAGGAGGAGUGACACAUAUCUCUGCUGGAUGAGCUCACAGUUCCAAUGAGAAGAUACAAGCUGAAAGAUUGCAGCAGAACUGGGAAGUGAAAGCACGGAGAGGCUGUGGGACAUGGAGGAGGGGCGGUAAGAUUGAGAAAGAGGUAACAGUUGGGGUGACUUUGGACCUGAGACCUGGGCAGGCAUAAGAAGUCUCACUCUCUAUUCCAUUCUUGGCAGGGGAUGUUUCUUUGUACCAGGUAGCUUUGCGCUUGUUUUGUUCCAUAAAAGUAAAUCUCUGUUCACUAAGGAAUUAUGGUAGUGAAUGGUGACUCUCCGGAAUUAUAGGGCUAAUUCCAAAAUAAUCUUAGUUUUAUUCCCCCACAUUGUAAUAUUAACACUUGGGAAUUUUGUUUAUCGCGAUGUUUAAUAAUUUGGCCAGCAGAGGGCACUGCAUACUGACAGUCUCUCCACACCAGUCGCUCAAAUCCUCAAGAGUUCCCGAAGUGUUAGGCUUAACUCAGGGGUGUUUGCAAGUGCUUUGCUCUUCUGUUUCAGACAUAAACAUAUGUCAGAAAUUAAAAGAGGGUUGUGAAGCAGGAAAUUAGAUUAACAGUAGCAUAUAAUUUCCCUCUAUUUGUUAAUAAAGAGAAAAAAUAUUGGUAUGUACACCCAUGUCUACAGGGUUUUAAAUGUAGCUGUAUUAAUUAAUGUAUUAAUAAUAUGAUAACACUACUUCUUGCAUAAAUCAACAUAACUUCUAAAUUCUCUUUGAAAAUAUUUUUGGUUUUAUAUUGUGGUUUAAUUCUCAAUCAUAAACUAAAAAGUAAAAAAACCUGAUGCCUAAUGUUAUACUUUCUUUCAAACCUUAAGAUAGAUAUUAUUGUUUGAAUAGUAUCAAAAUAUUGUGGUUCUGCAC
rnacentral:lncRNA from 1 species